CCUACGGGUGGCAGCAGUGGGGGAUAUUGCACAAUGGGGGAAACCCUGAUGCAGCGACGCCGCGUGGGUGAAGAAGAGCCUCGGCGCGUAAAGCCCUGUCAGCAGGGAAGAAAAUGACGGUACCUGAAGAAGAAGCCCCGGCUAACGACGUGCCAGCAGCCGCGGUAAUACGUAGGGGGCAAGCGUUAUCCGGAUUUACUGGGGGGAAAGGGGGCGGAGACGGCGAGGCAAGACAGGAGUGAAAGCCCGGGGCCCAACCCCGGGACUGCUCGUGGAACUGCGUGGCUAGAGUGCAGGAGGGGCAGGCGGACUUCCUGGUGUAGCGGUGCACUGCUUAGCUAUUCUG
rnacentral:rRNA from 1 species